UCGAGAAUUUUUCACAAUGGGCGAAAGCCUGAUGGAGCGACGCCGCGUGGGGGAUGAAUGGCUUCGGCCCGUAAACCCCUGUCAUUUGCGAACAAACCUUACUACCUAAUAAGUGGUAAGCUGAUUGUAGCGAAAGAGGAAGAGACGGCUAACUCUGUGCCAGCAGCCGCGGUAAUACAGAGGUCUCAAGCGUUGUUCGGAUUCACUGGGCGUAAAGGGUGCGUAGGUGGUAAGGUAAGUCGGAUGUGAA
rnacentral:rRNA from 1 species